rnacentral:rRNA from 1 species
GAUGAACGCUGGCGGCAUGCCUAAUACAUGCAAGUCGAACGAGAGGAAGGAAAGCUUGCUUUCCUGAAUCUAGUGGCGAACGGGUGAGUAACACGUAGGUAACCUGCCCAUGUGCCUGGGAUAACUUCUGGAAACGGAUGCUAAAACCGGAUAGGUAGCAGACAAGCAUUUGACUGCUAUUAAAGUGGCCUUGGCCAUGAACAUGGAUGGACCUGGGGUGCAUUCGCGGGUUGGUGAGGUAACGGCCCACCAAGGCGACGAUGCAUAGCCGGCCUGAGAGGGCGGACGGCCACAUUGGGACUGAGACACGGCCCAAACUCCUACGGGAGGCAGCAGUAGGGAAUUUUCGUCAAUGGGGGGAACCCUGAACGAGCAAUGCCGCGUGAGUGAGGAAGGUCUUCGGAUCGUAAAGCUCUGUUGUAAGAGAAAAACGGCACUCAUAGGGAAUGAUGAGUGAGUGAUGGUAUCUUACCAGAAAGUCACGGCUAACUACGUGCCAGCAGCCGCCGUAA